UUAUUAAUCAUUUUUCAAGUUCUCGCUGCCUCUUUGAAUCCAAAAUUGAUUAAUUCUUAUAUCCAUCUCACAAGUUCAUAAACUAAUCUUGUUGUCAACUUGAUCUCAAGAAUAUCUUGUUGUGAACUUGUUCCUAUUAAAUUUGAUUUACAUCCAAUUUGACAACGACAACACCCAUCGAUAGAAUUCUGGAUCGAAUAGCUUGUCCAAAUCCUUUUGCUCAAACUUUGUAGAUCGAACGGUCCAAUUUGAUUGUUGUAACAAUGGAUGAAGGUAAAUCUGAAGAUCAAGAUGAAGAUGUUCAAAUCAAAAUAGUUAUAAAUCACAUAAUCAAAUCGACGAAAUACCAAAGGUGUCAAUUACUACCGUCCCCUCUUUUCCAUGGCUGCCAAUCCAAAUUCAAAAACAAAGAGACUUUGGUGGAAAAGGUAUAUAUAUAUAUAUAUAUGAUUUCUUCCUUUUCUGUUUCCAUUUUCCAUUUAAUAAAUCAUAUGUUAACAUAUCAUUGUUCUCUCUCUAGAAGUUGUAAAGGUUCUAUGCAUUUUAAUUGACCAGGAAAAUGACGUGAUGCAUGAUGCUAAACCAAUAUCAUACAUAUUUUCAUAUGACAAUAAUGCUAAUUUUGAUGGUGGUAAUGAUAAAAAUGAUAGUCCUAAAAAUAAUGAUGAUACUACCAUCAUCAUUGCUCCACCAAAUGAGAUAUCAAGUCCACAUACUACAUCAAGAAGAAAACCAAAGAACCAAAGGGCUUUCUGCUGAAUUGAUGAACAACUGGGAAGUUAAAGAGAAACAAAGAAGCAACGGAUCCAGGAUUGAUAAGAUAAACAUAAAAAUUGCAGAACUAUCAUAUAUUUCAGCGUGAAAUCACAGAACAGUGAACGGUUGGAAUAAUAUCUUCAAACUUUUAAGUUUUGAAGAAAAAUGUCAUCCAAUGACGGUUCUUCUACCAGUUUCCAAAAUCAUAGUUAAAUUGAAAUGAUUUGUUAAAUCAUAUCAAUAAUGGUGUGAAUAAUUGGAACUUUAGAUCUAUAAGCAGCUCUAAGUUCAAUGUGUGACCAAGUGUUCAAAUGUCAGUGAUCAAAGAAAUUCAAGCAAUAAACGUUUGCAAACUCCACGCACCUACACUGGAAUAUUUGAUAACACUUGCAUAUCAAAGAAGAGAUGAGUAUCAAGGCGAAAGUUAAUUUCAAAUUGUAAUCACAAUUUAUGUAUUAGAUCUAUGAGAAUCUCUAAGGUCAAGGUGUGCACCAAGUGUUUUAAUAUUAGUGAUCAAAGAAUUUCAUGCUUUGAAUAUUUGCAAACUAUACGCAUCUAUACAUGAAUAUUUGAAAACACUUGCAUAUCAAAUAAGUUUCGAGUGUUAGAUGAUAAAGUAUUGGGCUUAAGAUAUUUGGGUCUUUAUAUUACUAAGAUAGUAGUC